CACGUACUCCCUUCGUUUCAAAUUAGUUGAUUUGAAUUUAUCUAAAUACGGAUGUAUCUAUAUGUCUAGAUACAUUCGUGUCUAGAUAAAUAUGGGUCAAAUAAUUUAAAAUGGAUGGAGUACACA
rfam:Triticum urartu cultivar G1812 contig425302, whole genome shotgun sequence.